UCCAACUUCUUGAAGCCAUAAUUCACACUUGUUGAAUUUUGCAUACAACUGUUUUUUACGCAAAAUCUAUAUUACAGUUCUCAAAUGCCGAGCAUGUUCAUAUUUUGUCUUGGAGUAGAUCAAUAUAUCAUCUAUAAAUAUUAUAAACCAUAAGCUAUACAUAUUCUUACCCCAUGCUUGGCAUACUUAUGGAUGAAUUUUCCUUGGUUUUAUUGAAUUCGAUGCUCGUAAUCCUUUAAUUUCAUGUUUUAUACUCAAGAGAGCAUAGUAAAGAUAAAAGAGCAAGAAACAAACCAAAAAGGGACAAAAUAGGCUAAUUUUAGCGUUCUAUAUGGACUAGGCACUUCCACACCCCCGUGCGUGUCGGCAUUAAAUAAAGUCAGAAUUGUAAACGGCCUGAGAACUUUCACACGGGCGUAACAGACGGCCUUGUCCUUGUCAAACCCAAGUUUAAUUCUAUUAAGAAAAGGCUAAUUUUGGGCUAUUCUGGGCAUUCCAAAGUCUAUAAAAACACCUUAGAAGAGGACCAAAAAGGACACGCAUAAUAGAGGGUAGAAAAUACUCAAGGAUAGCCAUCGGGAUCAGCUCAGAAGUAGGAUCUACUUCAAGACUGAAGAUCUUCAUUAUCUUUUCUUAGAAGUUCUUUGGUUUCUUUAUGUUUUGUUGUUUUCCCAAUUUUGAUAUGUUUUCAAUUAUUAUGAACUAAACUCCCUAAACACCUAAGGGAGAUAAAAUCUAAGACGGAUCUUAUUACUAUUUGAAUUAUAUGAUAAAUACUUGUUCUUAUUCUUAAUUGUGAGUUUUAAUCCUUGUUUUAAUAUUCCAGGAUAUAUAAUUCAGGUUUUGAUGUGCUUAUUCAGUGGAGUAAAAGUCCCUGUUUAAAAGUAGAUCUUCCAUAAUUAAGGGGACUUGCAUGCAAUCUUACAGAUAGGACGACAUAAAUCUGCCGGCUUAGAGUCAAAUCUAUUAAGGGAAUCCAUAGAUCGAAUUAAUACGAUAGUAGGGGUUUUAAUUAGUAAGAGAUUUCAAUUAAUCAACCUAGAGUCAGUUGUUUUUAGUCUCGAAAGAGAUAAUGACAUAAAUUAGAGAUUUCUACGGAUUAAGUCAAGUGAAUAAAUCAUCUAAUUCAGAAGUAAAAAGUGAAGUCUAGGUGAAUUCGUCCUUGGGUAUUGUCUUCUCUAUCAAUUUUUCAAACAGUAUUUUCUAAUUUUUUAUCUCUGUCGUAAUCUUAGUCAAUUAGAUAAUUAGUCUUAGUUUAAAACAUCCCUUAAUUCUUAAGUUAGAUAAUAAAAAGAUAGUUGUACAGCCCAAAUUUUGCCCGGGCUAAAAAGCCCAACAUCUAAAAACCCAACAGCCCAAAACCCUUUAACACUAGCCCAUAGCAAUUAAAAAAAAAGAAAAAAGAAGAAGACUAAAAAAAAAAAAACCUAGCCAUCAUCCCUAUGCUUGACUCGGCCAACUUGCCCUGUCUCAUUGCCCAUACCUCCACUUACUCCAUCCCCAUAUGUCCCGCUCCAUGUUUUGGCCCAUGUUUCAUGCCCCUCGUUCUCCACAACUUCAACACCUGCAAUUGGAGCAAAGAGAUAGGUAGAAAAUGUAUGGUUUUUGGCUAUAAAACCUUCAAUUUUUCAUUGUAAAAGGGGGAGAAGAGAUUGUACUAAAGAGGUUUUUUUUUAGAAAAAGAACAAUGAUACUACAUGCAAUAGAGAGCUUUCUUUUUCGAAUAUAAUAGAGAAUAUACAAAGUCAAGAGUAAAUCGAGAAUUGGGACUGAGGUACUAAAGUUUAUAUACAAAUCUCAUGCAAGAAUCAGUAAAAAUACCCACCAAGGAAUAGUUUCAAAGGUGAUUUUAUUUUGUUUUUCUUCAAUUUUUUUUCAAAUCGGAUCCACAAUAUAAGUUAAAAAAUAGGAGACAAGAAGGGAGACUUACCGCGCCUCAUGUUUGCGCCGUCGAGAGGGCCUUGCUUCGCCAGUCGCCGGCGACCUUUGGGUGGUUGAAGGCCUGGGCAUAAGCCUUUCGGCGAAGAGCAGAGAGGGGGGGGGGAGUGUGAAGAUUUCAAACUUUUCCUUAGAAAAGUCAAAGCUUAAAUUUUUAAAGGAAAAAAUGAAUUGAAAUGGGUUUUAACUUUGUAUAAUAAAACAAAACAGCAUGCCAGUACAUGUUUUGACUGGGUCCACACGCAUUUUACCCUUAAAUGGGUAAUUUGCGUGGCCAGUCCUUCCUAUUUGCGCCAUCCUUGAUUUGACCCUAUUUGGUUUCUUUAAUUUGGCCCUAAAAUUUAUCGCGAUUUUCAAUUUAAUCCUAGCUGGUGCUAUGCGUUUUAGAAAGGGGGUUAUUACACUUUAGGCCCUUCGUUGUUUCAUGCGUGUUUAAAUAAGCCCUUUUCUUUUUUUUUAAUUUGCCCCAAAACUUUAGCCCUUUUUUUAAUUUAAGUUGAAUUUUAUAUUAUCUUUGCUAUUUUAAUUUAUAAUAUUAGUUCCAAUAAUAUUAUAUAUAUACUUUUAAAUACACUAUUUUAUUUUCUAUUAUUAUAAAUAUUAAUAUUUUCCUUCCGUUAUUAUUAUAUCGUAUCGUCCUUUUUUAUUAUCAUAUCAUUAUGUACACAUUAUUUAUAUUAUUUUUACUACUAUUAUUAUAUCUAUUAUUAGUAUUAGUAUUAUAAUUACUAUUAUUACACUUUUAUAUAUAUAUAUUUAUAUGUAAAGUUAUCAAUGGUUAUUUUUAUCAUCAUCUUAAUAUUAAUAUGUAUUUAUUUUUAACAUAUAUAUGUGUAUAUUUAUGAGGUAUUAUUAAUAAUUGUUUUGUAACAUUAUUAUUAUUUCUAAUGUGUAUGUAUUAUAUAUAUAUUUAAAACUAUAUUAUGUAUAUAUUAUAUAUAUUUAUUAUAUUUUUAUGUAUAUAUUUUUAAUAUCAUAUUAUUCAUAUAUUUUUUAUAUUAUGUAAAUAUUUUCAAUACUACAUUAUGUAUAUAUUUUUGUCUAUAUUGUAUACAUACUUUUAAUACUCAAUACUAUUAUCAUAAAUAUGUUCUUGAUAUAUGUAUGUACGUAUAUGUGUUUUUUUUUCUUUAUUCACAUAUUAUUAUCAUCAUUUUUCACUUUUUAUUAUACUAUUUUUAUUUUUGUACAUACUUCUAAUAUCAUUAUUAUUACUAUUAUUAUUAUAUAUAUAUAUAUAUAUAUAUGUGUGUAUAUUUCAUGUAAUAUUUAUGUUUCAUUAUUAUUUCUAGUAUGUAUAUAUUAUGUAUAUAUUUUUAAUACUACGUAUACAUUUUUAUUUCUAUUAUUACGUAUAUAUUUUAAUACAUAUAUGUAUAUAUUUAUAUACCGUUAUCAUUAGUUAUUUCUUAUUAUCAUUGUUUUCAAUAAAUAUUGUAUAUAUAUUUUUAAUCUAGUAUUAUAUGUUGUACAUAUAUAUGUUCCCUCCUAUUUCAUAUUUACAUUAUUAUUACCAUGUUUAAUACCAUGUGUUAUUAUCGUUUCGUACUAUUAUUAUUUAUAUUAUUAUUAGUUUUCAUUAUCAUUGUCAUUUUUAUUUUACCGUGUUUUAUUUAUUUUUACGCGUUCGAUCAUUUCAUUUUCCUUAUGUAUUUGUUUAUAUUUGCAUAUUGCUAGCCUUGCUAUUAUUUCACCUUUUAUAAUUGUUCAUAUUAUUAUUUUUGACAUUGUCGCACCUAUUAUUAUGUUAUUACAUAUUAGCACCAUAAUUUGCUCUCAUGUUUUACCAUAAAUAACAUUAUGUUUUCCACUUGAUGCCUUAAAAUGAUUCUUUCAUAAAAGUGAUAUUCCGUAUUUGGUAAUUCGAGACAAUCGUGCCCUAACUUACUGGGUUUCGAUUUUUCUCAUUUAACCUAAAUAACGGGAUACUCUUUUAAAACGCAAUACGAGUUUUGAAAAAUACUUAUUAUCGGAGAUACGAGGUGUUGUGCCCUAACUUACCGGGUAUGGCAUUUUGUUACCUCGAAAUAGGAUUUUUCGCAAGUAAAGGCAAUAUUAGAUGUUUGGCAAUUCGGGGAAUCGUGCCCUAUUGUGCUGGGUUGCAAUUUCCUGUUUGUUCGAAAUAAUCGAAUAUUCCUUCGGUGUUCCACUCAUGUCUUUUAAAAAAUUUCAUUAAAACGAAAGAGAUGUUCGAUAUUUAGCAAUUCAUGGAAUCGUGCCCUAACGUGUUGGGUUGCAAUUUCUCAUUUGCUCAAAAUAAUCGAAUGUCUCUUUAGAAUUUCAUUCAUGUUUUCUAAAAAAAACACUUAUAAAGGAAAUGUUCGGUAUUUAGCAGUUCGGGGAAUAGUACCCUAUCGUGCUGGGUUGCAAAUCUCCCGUUUGUUCAAAAUAAUCGAAUAUCCCUUUGGAAUUUCACUCGUGUUUUCUAAGGCGAGGCAAUGUUCAAUGUUUGGUAAUUCGAGGAAACGUGCCCUAACUUACUGGGUUUCGACUUUCCUCAUUCAUCUUAACUAACCGAAUAUCCUUUUGAAAUACACGUAUUUUUAUAUAAAAGCCAAGCUCACUCUCGAAAAUUCAAGAUGUCGUGUCCUAACUUACUGGAUGUGACAUUUUAUAUUUUGAGAUGAGAAGGUCUUUAACAUUUGAGCAUUUUCUUUACAAAGAGGGAUCGUAUUUUAAAUUCUUUCAAGUUUUCAAAUUUUCGACACUAAGACACUAAUUAAUCAACUAGGUACCAAUUUUUGGGCGUUACGAGGGUGCUAAUCCUUUCUCGUGCGUAACUGACUCCCGAACCUGUUUUCUUGAUUUACGUGGACCAAAAUCGUUGUUUAAAUAAAUCAAACCAUUUAUUAAAAACAACCACUUUUACAAGGUGAUCCAAUCACACCUAAAUAAAAAAGAUUGGUGGUGACUCCAUUUUCGCUUUCCAAAAAGUCGAUCCAUCAUUUUUAAUUUUUUUAAAUCGAAAUAAAAAAUGGUUUCGACAGGUUGGCGACUCCGCUGGGGACAAUAAGAGAGUCAAGCCGUAAAAUUGAUUAUUUUUUGUCCUUUUGUCAAAAAUUUAAAAUUUGGUUUUUUAACAAAUGAUCCUUUUACUUCAUUUGUUUUGGUUCAAGUCCUAUAGAAUAGUUUUGCAUUGAAUUGCAUGACCGUUGUGGUCACACUUUUUAAGUGGGAGUGAGAAACUAUGCUUUCGUGAGGUUUUCACCUCCGCAUGGGCUAAGGGAUCGCUUCUGGAAUACAUCUGUACUUAUGUCUUCGUGAGGUUUUCACCUCCGCAUGGGCAUAAGGAAAUGUAUUCCUCUGAAUUGAACUUGGUCCAUAUGAGCCUAUAAUGGGUGAAGACCGAGGAAUCUGCUGGUUCGGGUACCCUUACUCUAGAAUCGAGCCACAUAUAGAGACACCUAGGAGCUUACCCUAGGUAGAACCACUCCGAGCCUCUAGUGAUCACCCGAAUAGGUAUUUUAUUUGUUGUUUAUUCCUAUACUAACGUGUUUUAUUUUUGUUUGUUCAUAACUGCAUUGCAUUACAUCAUCAUAGAAAGGAGGUGUUGAUAUUCAAUUGCUAAAUAGAACAAAUUGUCAUAAUAAAACAAAUUUCUUAAUAACGCAGAUUACAAUACGGUUGUCCGAAUUCGGUCCAAGUGAACACAACAGAAGAAGGCUAACAGUUCGUGGAAGAAAACAAAACUUUACCUAAGGGUUCAAGCUGAUAAAGAUUAUCCAAAAAACCGUCGCGUCCCAACUUUCUUAAAGGAGCUAAUCAACAUUGCGAGGAUAGUAAUUCGUGGCCUGGAUCAAGCAAAAAGGAGCUAGUAGAGGCAUGCAUUGGAAGCUUGCAAGAUUUGACUUUCACAAAGAAAGAGGAUCAGUGGCUUCAUCUCGAAUACGAAAGCAAGGCCAUAUACGUAAUCCAUUUUAUGAAAAAGAAUUUGUUUUAUAGAAAAGUUGUUCUAGGGGAAUUGAAUUCAAAAUCAACAUAUUUCUUUUCUUUGCAUUCAUCCCAUGCAUUUGCAUUGCAUUGCAUCAUUUACAUUGCAUUGCAUCAUGUGCAUUGCAUUGCAUCAUUUGCAUCAGAUUUUCCUAAAACGUCCUUAAUUAGGUAAAAUUAUUUUCGAAUCGACAAAAGAUAUGGACCAAAGGUUAGAGAGAAUGGAGCAAAGGAAAAUGUAGAUGUAAGAGCAGUUGAUCGAAAUUCAACAGGAUUUGCGAGAAAUGCUAGAACUCCAAAGAAAUAUGAUGGGCAAGUUAACCCAUUUACUGGCCGGAGAAUUUGAAAAAAGGAGUGGCCCAGUGGUUAAUAGUGAGGAUUAUGUUGAAGAGAUCAUCUAUUCCUCAGGGUUUGCCCCAAUAACGUCCCGACCCAACCAGACAUGCAAGGGGUACCCGUUGUUAUAGGACACCAAUGCCAGACGGAUACAUCAGCACUAUUGAGCUUCUCGAUGGGUUCAGGUUUUAACCCGAAAGAUGAUCAAGCCGAGCCAGUUGUUCUGGCAGAAAUGAAAGCAAGGGGAAAGUGAACUUUAAAGACCCCGAAAAAGAAGAAAAAGAAGGCAAAUAGUACGAGUAGGUAUAACAAGGGUCAUUCGAAGCCGGUUAUAACAGGCCGGCCAAGGUCAGUAACUACCAACCAUCAGAACUCCUUAAGGCAAGAACCCAAUCGAAGACUGAGCUCAGAAAAACCCCAAUACAAUCCCAUUCCAAUCACGUACGGAGAGUUGUACCGCAUUUUGUUCGAAGCACAUGUCGUAUCCCCUUUUUACAUGAAACCUAUACUGCCCCCAUAUCCUAAAUGGUACGAUGCAAGCAGCCAAUAUGAAUACCACGCGGGAAUCACGGGACAUUCCAUCGAGAACUAUACCACUUUUAAAAAGAUUGUCGAAAGACUCACCAAUUUGGGUAUCGUAAAAUUCGAUGAUCCCUUUAGAGCGGAAAAUCGAUUAUCUAACCUUUCUGUUAAAGAGGCGAAUGUUAUGAGUUCCAUACUGGAUUGGGGCAUGAGAUUUAAGGGUGCAUCGAGCUCGGAACUCUAAUGCAAGGCCUGGUAUUGGGAAACCCAAACAUCAACGACGUAUCAGAAGAGGGAACCCGGGAGUAGACUUUUUCAAGCUUCUGCCCUUACGUACUUAGGGUGUUUUAAAUAAGGGGACUGUGAAAAGGAUCCUUUAUUUUUAGAGAUAAUCUAGAGUAAUAGUCAAAACAAGCUUAUUGUUUUAAACCGAAGCAACAAGAAUCCUUUUGUGAAAUAGGCUUAUAUCCAAAAUCUUUAUUUCAAUGAAAUACAUGUUUGAGUAAAUAUUCUUUUAUUCUUUCCAUUUUAUACUGUACAAACGACUAUUCUUAGAUUCCUUCAUUCAUGAUCAUACCAUACAAAUAAUAAUUCUUAGAAUCAUUUAGUCUUUGGAAAAUGCCUUCGUACCUAUAACAGGUCUCCAGACAUCAAUGACGUGAGCGAUGUUGCCACUAAUUCUGAGUCUCUUUUUUGAGCAAGAUAUGUGUCUAGAGGGAUCUUAGGACUUUGAAGAUGAUAGAGAUUGUGACUUAUUUCCUGAUUUGUUAAGGACGGUAGAACAAGAUGAAAAACAGAUCCAACUAUGCAAAGGGUCAGUGGCAUUGCGAGCCUUGGAAAGAAGUGAAGAUCGAAGCCUAGCUCACCACAAAGAUAAAGCAAGACAUCAUUGAGUUAUUCCCAAUUCAAAGAUAUUUUCACAUGAUUGAAUCAAGAUAUGCCUAAGCUACUAAGACGUGAGAAUGUUACGGGGUUUUUUUGAAUGACGUAUGUUAAUGACAUAUACAAUGGCCGAGCUAAUCAAGAGAUUUGGUUUCUGCCGGUCCACCAUAGAAAGGGAUUGCAUCAGUAUGCGGUAAAUGCCAAAUUUAUGGAGACAAGAUUCAUGUGCCCUUUCAUUUCUUCGUAGACUCUAUGUGGGGCAUGGAGGUUAUGGGCCGAUCUCUUUGAAAGCUUCUAACCAAUAUCGACUCGCCUUUGGGGUCGUCAAUUACUCCGCGGAAAGGGUGAAAGUUGUUUCAUAUGCCAAUGUCACUAGGUCGACAAUCAUCAAAUUCCAAAAAAAGGGUUCCAACAAAGAAUGCUAGAAAAAAAUAACAACUGUACAAUGUCAAAAGUUUGCAGUCUGUUCAAAGAUUAGGCGCUAUAUUGCAAAAAAAAAAUUAAUUAAGAUAAUGGGGAAGAUGACCGAGACUAAUAAAGAUCUGGCAUAAGGAGUCACCAUUUACCCUCUAUGUUCAUCGAAUGUUGGCCAAGACCUUCACCAGGGCAACAUAUUUCAUUAGUCUAUGGGAUAGAAAUGAUUUUAAAGAAGAGAUUUCUUGUUUCUUAGUCUUGUCAGAGCUGAAGUUGGAUAAGGCAAAAUGGAUCCAAUCCUGAUGUGAUUAGUUGAAUGUGAAAAAAAGGAGGUUGAAAGCCAUCCGUCAUGAUCCAAUGAAUGAUGUGAGCUUACGAUGAAGAGGUUCAUCCUAAAGAAUUCCACGUGAGAAGCUUGAUAUUGGAAAAGAUCCCUCCUAUACAAAAGAACUUCUGAGAAAAGUGGAUGUCAAACUGAGAAGGACUUUAUGUAGUAAAGAAGACCUGUUUGGGAGGGGCAUUAAUAUUGACAGAAAUGGAUGGUAAAGAUUUGCCAAAGUCGGUGAAUUCAGAUUUCGUCAAGAAGUAUUUCACCUAGAAAAUGAGAGGCCAAGGCGAAGACCCGCAAAGAGCGCUUUGAGACCCUUAAAAAAAAAGAGGAGAGGCCAAAGAGAAAACCCGCAAAGGGCGCUUUGAGACCAAAGGGGAUUUGAGUUGAAAACCCAAAAAAGGUGGCUCAAAUUUGGAUCAAAAUGGGCAUGCAGCAGCUUUGCUAUGCCUAAAUUAAUAAAGAAGAAGUAUGUUGCAUGGACAAAGUGCUUCGGAUCCCCUAAACACGUAUUGAGCUCGGAAAGGUCCUUAAGAAGUUGGUACAGAGAAGCUCAAGCUACGAUAUCUGGGGCACCUAGUUUUCAUUUUGCUCAUUUUUGAAUUUGUGAUCUUUGAGUACCUUAUUCUUUUCAAGAUACGUCCCAAUAAACUUCAUUUUUAUUGCAUUGCUAUCUUUGAUUAACUUAUUGCCUCCUUAUUGCAUUUGUAAUCUUUGAUUAAUUUAUUAAUUUUGAGCUAUGCUCCCAAUCAAUUUCCUUCUUGUCCAUUGUUUUGAUAUUUUUCAAGCAUUUUGUAUUGAAAUAAUGAUUAAUGGACCAAUAAUACUUUCAUAAAAGAAGUUUUGCAUAUUACUUUGGAAGUUUCUAAAUAAUACAAGGACUUGAAACAGGACUAUUGUUCAGAACUCACCAAGCCUAAGGGUUGAAAAUAUUUAAGCCUAAAUUGAAAUUAUCUCAUUGGGUUUUCUGUUAAAGAUAUUAGUUGAGCAGAAAAAUCACAUUGGUGUUACAAUCCUGGUAAAAAAACAAGCAAUAGAGGGUCAUUCUCGAGAAAAGAAAAUGGUACUCUACAUUCAUAUACAUCUGGUCAUUACACCCAAGGAAUAGUGUAACAGAUCAAACUGAUUGAAGAUGAUACAAAUCCUAUGCCUUUGAGUUGCAGCGGAAUGGAUGGAAGAAACCAAAUGUUAUUCCUCUGAAAUUGCAAUAGGAGGCACAAACUUUAUGUCCCAAAAGGUACAGUGGAAGGGACUCUGAAAUUACAGUGGGGCAAGCUUGCUGAACAAAAUGUGAUUGUUUCUUUGACUUUUCUGUCAAGAAUACCAGCCGAACAAGAUGCCAACGUAAUACGUCAGCGAUAAUGUCCUAAUGAACAACGAACGAUGAUACCUUAAGCCUUUCUUUUAAAAAAAAAGGCUCAGGACAUUUCUACAUUCAUAUAAUAACACAUCUAGUUAGGAGCAUUUGACUCAUUUCAUAACAUCCUAAUUAUUUGACAUAAAGCAUCACAUUUAGUUAGGAGCAUUUGAUUCAUUUCAAUCAUAGCAUCCUAAUUAUUUGGCAUAAGCAUGGAUACAUGAAACUGAUUUUACAGAUCAUGUUCCUCAGAGGACAGUGCAGUAGAGUCGGUGAAUUCACAAGUCUUAACCCCCUAAGCAGUGGGGCAACAAGCUGAAGAUAUCCAAGAUGAUUUGGCAUCUCUGUAUCAGGCGGGGAGAAGAUCGAAGACAUAGCUGAUUUGGCUUUCACGUGUUUACGUUGAAGCAGAUCCAAGAUGAUUUGGCAUCUCAGUAUCAGGCGGGGAGCAGAUCGAAGACAUAGCUGAUUUGGCUUUCACGUGUUUAUGUUGAAGCAGAUCCAAGAUGAUUUGGCAUUCUGUAUCAGGCGGGGAGUAGAUCAAAGACAUAGCUGAUUUGGCUUUCAUGUGUUUACGUUAAAGCAAAUACAAGAUGAUUUGGCAUCUCUGUAGCGGCGGAGAGCAGAUCGAAGAUAACAGAUUUGACGUUUCUGUAGCGGCGGAGAGCAGAUCGAAGAUAACAGAUUUAGCGUAUCUGUAGCGGCGGAGAGCAGAUCGAAGAUAAUAGAUAUCUCUGUAGCGGAAGAGAGCAGAUCGAAGAUAACAGAUUUGGCGUCUCUGUAGCGGUGGAGAGCAGAUCGAAGAUAAUGGAUUUGGUGUCUCUGUAUUGUCAGAGGGCAGAUCGAAGAUAAUGGAUUUGGCGUAUCUGUAUUGUCAGAGGGCAGAUCAAAGAUAACAGAUUUGGUGUCUCUGUAGCGGCGGAGAGCAGAUCGAAGAUAACAGAUUUGGCGUCUUUGUAGCGGUAGAGAGCAAAUCGAAGAUAACAGAUUUGGCGUCUCUGUAGCGGCGAAGAGCAGAUCGAAGAUGAUUUGGCAUCUCUGUAGCGGCGGAGAACAGAUCGAAGAUAACAAAUUUGGCAUUUCUGUAGCGACGGAGAGCAGAUCAAAGAAAACAGAUUUGGCGUCUUUGUAGCGGCGGAGAACAGAUCAAAGAUAACAGAUUUGGAGUCUCUGUAGCGGCGGAGAGCAGAUCGAAGAUAACGGAUUUGGCGUCUCUAUAUUGUUAGAGGGCAGAUCAAAGAUAACAGAUUUGGUGUCUCUGUAGCGGCGGAGAGCAGAUCGAAGAUAAUAGAUUUGGCGUCUCUGUAGCGGUAGAGAGCAGAUCGAAUAUAACAGAUUUGGCGUCUCUGUAGCGGCAGAGAGCAGAUCGAAGAUAACAGAUUUGGAGUCUCUGUAGCGGCGGAGAGCAGAUCAAAGAUAACGGAUUUGGCAUCUCUGUAUUGUCAGAGGGUCGAUCAAAGAUAACAGAUUUGGCGUCUCUGUAGCGGCGGAGAGCAGAUCGAAGAUAACAGAUUUGGCGUCUCUGUAGCGGUGGAGAGCAGAUCGAAGAUAACAGAUUUGGCGUCACUGUAGCGGCGGAGAGAAGAUUGAAGAUAACAGAUUUAGCGUCUCUGUAGCGGCGGAGAGCAGAUCAAAGAUGAUUUGGCAUCUCUGUAGCGGCGGAGAGCAGAUCGAAGAUAACAGAUUUGGCGUCUCUAUAGCGGCAGAGAGCAGAUCGAGGCGUCUCCGUAGCGGCGAAGAGCAGAUCAAAGAUAACAGAUUUGGCAUCGCUGCAGCGGCGGAGAGCAGAUCAAAGAUAACAGAUUUGGCGUCUCUGUAGCGGCAGAGAGCAGAUUGAAGAUGAUUUGGCGUCUCUGUAGCGGCGGAGAGCAGAUCAAAGAUAAUAGAUUUGGCGUCUCUGUAGCGGCGGAGAGCAAAUCGAAGAUAACAGAUUUGGCGUCUCUGUAUUGGCAGAGAGCAAAUUGAAAAUAACAGAUCGGUGUUCCUGAGUUUUCAAGAAGCAAGUUGAAGAUAACAAAUUUGACACUCCUGAAGACAUUGGAAUACCUUUAGGAAAGAUGAGGAGCAAGAUUUUGAGAUUUAGCUAGACCGGACAAAUUUGGUCCUUUUUAUAGUCUUUGCUCUGUUCUCGUUACACGACAACAAGCAAAAAGGGGCAGCUGUACAGCCCAAAUUUUGCCCGGCUUAAAAGCCCAACAUCUAAAAACCCAACAGCCCAAAACCCUUUAACACUAGCCCAUAGCAAUUAAAAAAAAGAAAGAAAAAAGAAGAAGACUAAAAAAAAACCUAGCCAUCAUCCCUAUGCUUGACUGUCGGCCAACUUGCCUUGUCCCAUUGCCCAUACCUCCACUUACUCCAUCCCCGAAUGUCCCGCUCCAUGUUUUGGCCCAUGUUUCACGCCCCUCGUUCUCCACAACUUCAACACCUGCAAUUGGAGCAAAGAGAUAGGUAGAAAAUGUAUGGUUUUUGGCUAUAAAGCCUUCAAUUUUUCAUUGUAAAAGGGGGAGAAGAGAUUGUACUAAAGAGGUUUUUUUUAGAAAAAGAACAGUGAUACUACAUGCAAAAGAGAGCUUUCUUUUUCGAAUAUAAUAGAGAAUAUACAAAGUCAAGAGUAAAUCGAGAAUCGGGACUGAGGUACUAAAGUUUAUAUACAAAUCUCACGCAAGAAUCAGUAAAAAAACCCACUAAGGAAUAGUUUCAAAGGUGAUUUUAUUUUGUUUUUCUUUAUUUUUUUUUCAAAUUGGAUCCACAAUAUAAGUUAAAAAAUAGGAGAGAAGAAAGGAGACUUACCGCGCCUCAUGUUUGCGCCGUCGAGAGGGCCUUGCUUCGCCGGUCGCCGGCGACCUUUGGGUGGUUGAAGGCCUGGGCAUAAGCCUUUUGGCGAAGAGC
rnacentral:lncRNA from 1 species